UACGUAGGGUGCAAGCGUUGUCCGGAAUUAUUGGGCGUAAAGAGCUCGUAGGCGGUUUGUCGCGUCGGCUGUGAAAACCCGGAGCUCAACUCCGGGCCUGCAGUCGAUACGGGCAAACUGGAGUGUUGCAGGGGAGACUGGAAUUCCUGGUGUAGCGGUGAAAUGCGCAGAUAUCAGGAGGAACACCAGUGGCGAAGGCGGCUACCUGGCCCAGUCUUGACGCUGAGGCGCGAAAGCGAGGGGAGCGAACGGG
rnacentral:rRNA from 1 species